CUUGCAUGUGGACAUAAUGGACAUUGGAAUUUAAGUGCAUGAGCUUAAGUGUUGUUUGGCUUACACAUCAGAUUUUUAUGGUUGAAGUGGAGCAAGAGAAGCUUAUGUUCUUCCUCAUCACCUUCAUUUUCGCAACCUUAUGGCAGCCCUCACUAAACUGAUCAUAACUCUCUGCUCACAGCUCCGAUUGAGGUAAUUAUUGAAGUUUUGGAAAGCUAACGAAAUUGUCUUCGAUUUGGUAUACUAAUUCGCACUCAUAGCUUGUUUAUUGAUGGAGAUAAGCGCAUUUGAAGUUGAUCAAUGGAUGCUGAAAAUAGGUGUAAAGUGGAAUACGGGUUUGAUGAAUUUGGAGUUGAAGUUUUGGUCAAGUUAGGAGCUCAAUUGCAGCAUGUUCAUCAUCCAAAGCUCCAUUGAUGCAAGGUGCAGUUUAGUAGCUUUUGAUAGAUACCCGGUUCGGAUUGAUGGCUUGAAGUGGUGUCAGCUCGAAGACCUCGUUGAUUUUGACAUUCCGCUGUGCAAGAUCCAUUGAAGACUCAUGUAUUGUGCUACUUAGUAGAAUUUCAUGUUGUAUUUUAUAUGGAUCAAAUAUUGUACCUUGACUUGUGUAUGUACUCAAUAUCAAUUUUAACAUUUCAUGCAUAAUAUACUAGUCAGUUAUGUAUGGGGUGUUACAGUUGGUAUCAGAGCAGGUCGAUUCUCGGCCGAGCCAUGAGACAUCACUAGCAAUCCCUUUCCUCCUCACGUGUGUGCGUUGCUAGCCUGAUUUUACUGAAAUCUCAUUCAGUUGUUGAACUUGAUCAACUCAUCGACUGGGUGUGAGACAGUAGAAUUACGGCAGAGCCGCCACGAGGACUCGUAAACUUGUAAGUGUCGUGAACCCAAGUAGAAAGGAUCGGUUGGGUGGUGAAUUUUAUAUGGAAGCUGGAUUUAUUGGACGACGUAAGUAGAAGGGAUAUUGGAGUCGUCAAGCUUAAGGAGAGCGUUUGACGCGAAGUAGUGAUACCCAAACUGUCAAGAUGUGGAUCGAGACAACUAGAACCCCCAGGAUUUUGACUGGACGAAGUGAAACUUUCUCUAAGUCUUGGUAAUAGCCAGUGAAAUCCAAACAAGAUUGAGUAGGAGCCUUGUAAGUGAGAUUCUUCGAAGGUGUUGAUCCAGGAAUUAGUAGGAUUCAGUACUGAUGAUGCUGCCGGUGUUAAGUGUGACGGGUGAGCUGAUAGGAAAGAAUGACCCCAAGAAAUGCGGAUAGAAGAGUUAGACCUUUCUGAUUACGCUGGUACGGACAGUAAUUGGAUGGGUGAAGUAUUAGAUUCUAAAUCAGCUGGGUGUACCUAAGCGAGAGUAGUUUCCUAGUAAGGGUUGGUGGAAUGUACGAGUGUGGUAGCUUACGAUUGGGUGAGACUUAAAUACUCGGUCGAUGGAAGAGGAUGUGUAUUUCUAUUCUUAUCAUUUUAUAUUUAAGUUCUAGAACUACGCUAGAUGGAAUAUGAAAUGAUGUAGAAGCGUGAAAUGCAGUAACCUAAGUUCUUGUUAGUUGUUGUUCGUCUGACCCCGAGUGAAGCCAUAGAACUACGCUUGGCAUUGGGCGUUCAGGCGAGUAAGAACUAAGAUCUAUCUAGAACGUCAAUAGGAUGAUCGCAGUUGCGUUGGUUGUUAGGAACCAUAGUAUUCCUAUCUGGACUGAAUUAUCCUUGGAAUCUCAUGCAUGCGUGGGACGAGUGGGUACGCGCACGACAUGGUAAUUUGAAGUUGAACUUCAAGUCUUCAUGCUUGGCGUUUUGGCUUUCCGAGUAAGUAAACCUUGAUGUGUAGCACCCUCAGGUUUUAGCAUCCUGAGGAGUGUGAUUCGAAGGACUUGAGGAACGAUGAACCUAUUGGAGGCCUGUUCAGACACUUGUCGGUUGCAACUAUAGGAUACGCGUGGGGAUCAUUAUACGCCUGAGGUAGGUUACCGGGAUACAUGGCCUCAGAUUUGGUCCACCAUGUUGGUACUACCAGACGAGUAUGAUGCCACAGUAUCGCUAUCAUGCACAAGAUGCGUGAGUCAUCCUUUUCCGACAUGUGUGGGACAAAGGUGAUCUGAAGCUCAAGGUAGAAUUCUGAUUUAGCACUCGUGAGACACAGAUCCAGACUCUCAUAAGGUAUGUAGGAUAAGGAUUCAUACGUCGCGCUCGAUAGUAGAGGAAUAACUAGACAGGCGAUGGUGAGAUGGAUCAAGAUCCGAUACCAUGCUUAUAGAGACUCUGAAUGAUCGUGCUCGCGCAAGUUAGAGUCAGAUUGUACCUUGCAGACGUUCUCGUUUCAGGAAGUGUUAAGUUGGCAAUUUUGCAUGAGUGUCUAGAGUGGGACUCAUGUGCGGUCAUGAUACCCUGGUCAGCAUAGUGAGUGGCUAUCAUGUAUCAUUGGCAACCAGUGAUGGAAUAUGCAAAUUGUAUCUUGGAAUAAUUUGAUGUGUGACGUAUCUGGUAGAGUGUCUGUAGAUACUUUGAGUGAAGAAAUGUCAAUCUUGGUAAAGCAUAGCCAUUUUUGGUUUGAGAACUUCUGAGGAGUUUAUAAGAGAGAUGUUCGAAAUUCAAAGUACAAUUUCUCGCAUUGUGGCUACACUCCGACCGUUGGAAGCACUGCAAUGAAGGAUGCAGCCGCCGGGGAAGUCAGUUUAAUGCCAGAUUCAGAGGUAGAGCAGACAUUAGAUGAAUGUGUGGAUGGAGUGUGGCUAUGAGGGGAUUGUUAUAUCAGUAAGUCACACGAGUUAUCAGAGGUGACUCUGCGCUAAGAGAAUGAAGCCGUUUGGUUGGGAAGAAGCGAUGCUAAACCGACAUAGUUAUCGUAAGUUGCGAAGCGUUAGUGAAAGAAUCAUUAUAACGGUUGAGUAAUAAGACUUGUUGUAAGGAAAAAAAAACAUAGCAGUUAUACGUUGUGGAAAUCAGUGACAAGGACGAACCUCUAAGUCAGUGAAUUUUUAGGUUUCAAUAUCCUUAGAUCGAAACGUGUACCUAAGUUGUGGUAGAUGAACUAUAUGGAAUGGCAGAGUAAGUAGAAGCUUGAUUCUGGAGAGUAUGCAACUUCAAAGAGUAGUAGUCGAUGAUGGAUUUAUAUGGAGUUCUGGCACGUUUUGUAAUUGGACAACUGUGGAAUAGGGAUUAUUGUGUAUUAAUGGAAACUAAGUGAAUUAUGGAUAUAACGUGACUCAGGGGAUUUCAAGGUGUGUGACUUGUUGGAAUCAGAGUAGCGCAACGGAUCAAGGAAGAAUCAGAUAAGUCUGAGGUAGGAAUGAACGGACUAUUUGUAGGAUUUAUGUUGGGAUGAAAGUAUCUUCCUAAAGGAAAUUGUCAAAGCAGCAUUUCGUUCGUUCUAGUCUCUCAAGGAUCACCAUAACUCGAGAGGUGUUGUCAAUGGGCCAGCUUGGGAAAACAUUUUGUGGAUGGCAUGCGGUCCGAUGUUCGUAGGUUAUCGGUUUGGCUUGUAAGUCACAAGGGUUGGACUGAGUAUCAGACCGCUGAAAUGCUGAAGACCAGUGAGGAUUCUCAAUUGGCGCAAGUUUUUCGUUGUUAUGUCUUGUGCACUGUGAGCGUGCGUGAAGAGUUGGACAAUGGUCGUCGGGUAGCGUUUGGAAUUCACCGUUCAUCGGUGGAACCUUGGGUGAAGUUGUGGAAUGCUACAACAUCGUGGAUUGCGAUAAUGAUUGAUACAUCUAGGAUUGAGGUGAGAAUCGAGUAAGGAGGAUCAGUUGUAUAAGUAGAGGUAAACUUGGGACAACCGUCCUAAGACUUUGGGAACCGGAAGUUGAGACCAAGACAUUUGGCUAACGCCUAAUGACAUUGUAUGGACUCGAGUGGAGAAUAAUUUGAAGUGUUAUCGCAGAAGUGACGUUGUGGCAGUAAUUCUCAAACGAAAGUAAUUCAAGGAGCUGAGUGGAUCAGUAAUGUUUGUCGAAUGAGGAUGAGCAUAUUAGAGAAUGAAAUGAAGGAUAUCCAACAUGAGUGGAUUAUUAAAGUUUCUGAAGUUCUGGGGAUUCAGUGUAGAGCAGUGAAGGUCAAGGACCCUGGAAGGAUCUUUCCCCAGAUAUGUCAAGACGAAGUAUCUGGAUAGACGUGUUACUUGAGAGUCAAGGUUCUAACCAUGCAUAGUGGGACGCAGGUGUUUUGGCAGAUUAUGUUUCUUCGUAUGGAAUGACCCUCACACAGAGUAGUGAGAUUAUCUGAAGAGAAAUGUAAGGAACAUUUCAUCCCCUAGUUGGUAUAGAUUUGGACACGUUGUUUCCGUGGUGACCAGAAAGAAUUCGAGGACGAAUUCAAUUUAAGGGGGGGAGAAUGUAAUACCCCGAUUCUCCGACACAAGUUAAUUAUCAUUUAAUUGGUUAAGUGAUGAUUAUAAGGCAUAUUGAUUGGAUUAUAUUAAUCUAAGAAGGAUUAUUAGUAAGAGUUAGUGGAGUGGUUAGAAUAAGAUAGAUUAUUGGAAUUGAACCAAGUGGCAAGGUGGUAAUUUCCACUCAAUUGGAGGGCUUAAUGGACUUAUGUAUUGCUUGCAUGUGGACAUAAUGGACAUUGGAAUUUAAGUGCAUGAGCUUAAGUGUUGUCUGGCUUACACAUCAGAUUUUUAUGGUUGAAGUGGAGCAAGAGAAGCUUAUGUUCUUCCUCAUCACCUUCAUUUUCGCAACCUUAUGGCAGCCCUCACUAAACUGAUCAUAACUCUCUGCUCACAGCUCCGAUUGAGGUAAUUAUUGAAGUUUUGGAAAGCUAACGAAAUUGUCUUCGAUUUGGUAUACUAAUUCGCACUCAUAGCUUGUUUAUUGAUGGAGAUAAGCGCAUUUGAAGUUGAUCAAUGGAUGCUGAAAAUAGGUGUAAAGUGGAAUACGGGUUUGAUGAAUUUGGAGUUGAAGUUUUGGUCAAGUUAGGAGCUCAAUUGCAGCAUGUUCAUCAUCCAAAGCUCCAUUGAUGCAAGGUGCAGUUUAGUAGCUUUUGAUAGAUACCCGGUUCGGAUUGAUGGCUUGAAGUGGUGUCGGCUCGAAGACCUCGUUGAUUUUGACAUUCCGCUGUGCAAGAUCCAUUGAAGACUCAUGUAUUGUGCUACUUAGUAGAAUUUCAUGUUGUAUUUUAUAUGGAUCAAAUAUUGUACCUUGACUUGUGUAUGUACUCAAUAUCAAUUUUAACAUUUCAUGCAUAAUAUACUAGUCAGUUAUGUAUGGGGUGUUACAAAU